GCGCCGCCCCCGAGGGGGCCGCCGAGCGCUGCCCCUUUAAGGCAGCGCAGCCCCGCGCGCAUUCCAGCGGCCGCGUCACCGUUCCGGGAAGCGGGUGGCGUCACCCCGCCAUCCCUCCCUCCCUCCCUCGCUCGCUCGCUCGCUCGGUGCCGCUGUCCGUCCCGCGGCGGCGGGGCGGGCCCGGGGAACAAAGGCGGGAUAAAAAUAGAAGGUAGAAAAGAGGAGUAAAGAUAUAAGCAAGAAAUUUAGGAUAUGUGCAGUCUACCAUGGGAUGUUUUGGUCCCAAGUUCUUCCUGUGCUGUUGCUGCCCGAGUACACAGUGCUGUCCCUAUGCAAUGUAGAUGGAUAUCUGCUCAGCCCCUGUGAUGCUGUGGAGCUCCCUUCACCUGGGAUCUCAGGAAACAGGCUCAUCUCAGAGUCAGAAAUCAAGAGGAAUGUUCAGUGUUAUGAUUCAGAAACCUAAGUGGGAUCAGGGUGGUGUUGUGUAAC